CCUACGGGCGGCAGCAGUGAGGAAUAUUGGUCAAUGGACGAGAGUCUGAACCAGCCAAGUAGCGUGAAGGAUGACUGCCCUCUGGGUUGUAAACUUCUUUUAUAUGGGAAUAAAAUGUUCCACGUGUGGGAUUUUGUAUGUACAAUAUGAAUAAGGAUCGGCUAACGCCGUGCCAGCAGCCGCGGUAAUACGGAGGAUCCGGGCGUUAUCCGGAUUUAUUGGGUUUAGAGGGAGCGUAGGUGGAUUGUUAAGUCAGUUGUGAAAGUUUGCGGCUCAACCGUGAAAUUGCAGUUGAAACUGGCGGUCUUGAGUGCAGUAAAGGUGGGCGGAAUUCGUGGUGUAGCGGUGAAAUGCUUAGAUAUCACGAAGAACUCCGAUUGCGAAGGCAGCUGACUGGACUGCAACUGACGCUGAGGCUCGAAAGUGUGGGUAUCAAACAGGAUUAGAUACCCUAGUAGUC
rnacentral:rRNA from 1 species